rnacentral:rRNA from 1 species
CAAACCAAAGCUGGCGACCGGCGCACGGGUGAGUAACACGUAUCCAACCUGCCUCAUACUCGGGGAUAGCCUUUCGAAAGAAAGAUUAAUAUCCGAUAGCAUAUAUUUCCCGCAUGGGUUUUAUAUUAAAGAAAUUCGGUAUGAGAUGGGGACGCGUUCCAUUAGUUUGUUGGGGGGUAACGGCCCACCAAGACUACGAUGGAUAGGGGUUCUGAGAGGAAGGUCCCCCACAUUGGAACUGAGACACGGUCCAA